GAAGAAACCGAAGGGAAAGCUCAGCUGCAGCGGCGACUUUCAGUUUCAUUUCCACGGACCCUCCUGCCUGGGCCGCAGCCGCCGCCGCGAUGCCCAGUAAGUUCAGCUGCCGGCAGCUCCGGGAGGCGGGCCAGUGUUUCGAGAGUUUCCUGGUCGUUCGGGGACUGGACAUGGAGACAGAUCGCGAGCGGCUGCGGACCAUUUAUAACCGCGACUUCAAGAUCAGUCUUGCCUCCAGCAAAUCCAUCCUCCAAUCCUGAUGCCAGAGUGAUCUGAAAUGCAAAUAUGAUCUUGCCACUCCCCUGCUUAAAACCCACCAACCGCAGUGGUUCUGUAACCACAGUGUAGCCUCUGACGUGGGCUGAAAGCACAAAGCCAGGCUAUUUGAUCUCUGGAGAAGGAUCCUUUCCCUUCCUGCUUGGGUUCCACCUGCACCCUAUGACUUCGGGUGGAAACUGCUGUCUGAUCAGCCACCUUGCCCACACACUUGGACAUCUGUACUGUCUCUGAUCCCUUCUCUCCUCACCAACAGGCUGGACCCCACUGAUCCACCCCUCUGAAUCAAAUCAUUCCGCUUCCCCUUAGCCUCAGCUCUUUCUUCUGGGUUGUUUGUAUUUUCUUUUCUGUCCCAAACAGUUUCCCCCACAAAAAGAACUUUAUGUCUUUUUCUGUCUUCCCUCAGUCCUUCCAGUCAGCAGCCUGUGAUUGGGCUUUUCCCCUCAGAAACGAACAAUCCAGAACCCACUGUUAAAACAACUGUAUUUUGCCUUGGGAAGUCCCAUUGCCUUCCCUGAAAACAUUAAACAUUCCUCCGAUCCCCAGCCUGAGUCUCUCUGUCUCUGGGCCCCAUCCUGUUCCACAGCAGGGCUGGUGUGUCCAGCACAGAGUGACCCUCCAAUGCCCUUCCCCACCCGCCGCCCUGCCUCCCACGAGCCCUGCCUUCCCUCACUUCCCAGUCUCCUCUGCUUCUGGCAGCUUUGGGACCCCCGCCCCUGGCUUCUCCUCCAUGCUGUAUGGAAUGAAGAUUGCAAAUCUGGCCUACGUCACCAAGACUCGGGUCAGGUUCUUCAGACUCGACCGCUGGGCCGACGUGCGGUUCCCAGAAAAGAGGAGAAUGAAGCUGGGGUCAGAUAUCAGCAAACACCACAAGUCACUGCUAGCCAAGAUCUUUUAUGACAGGGCUGAGUAUCUUCAUGGGAAACAUGGUGUGGAUGUGGAAGUCCAGGGGCCCCAUGAAGCCCGAGAUGGGCAGCUCCUUAUCCGCCUGGAUUUGAACCGCAAAGAGGUGCUGACCCUGAGGCUUCGGAAUGGUGGAACCCAGUCUGUUACCCUCACUCACCUCUUCCCACUCUGCCGGACACCCCAGUUUGCUUUCUACAAUGAAUACCAGGAGUUGCCCUGUCCACUGGGCCCCGGUGAAUGCUAUGAACUCCAUGUCCAUUGUAAGACCAGCUUUGUGGGCUACUUCCCAGCCACAGUGCUCUGGGAGCUGCUGGGACCUGGGGAGUCAGGUUCAGAAGGAGCCGGCACAUUCUACAUUGCCCGCUUCUUGGCUGCCGUCGCCCACAGCCCCCUGGCUGCACAGCUGAAGCCCAUGACUCCCUUCAAGCGGACCCGGAUCACUGGAAACCCUGUGGUGACCAAUCGGAUAGAGGAAGGAGAGAGACCUGACCGCGCUAAGGGCUAUGACCUGGAGUUAAGUAUGGCGCUGGGGACAUACUACCCACCUCCGCGCCUCAGGCAGCUGCUCCCUAUGCUUCUUCAAGGAACAAGUAUCUUCACUGCCCCUAAGGAGAUCGCAGAGAUCAAGGCCCAGCUGGAGACAGCCCUGAAGUGGAGGAACUAUGAGGUGAAGCUGCGGCUGCUGCUGCACCUGGAGGAGCUGCAGAUGGAGCAUGAUAUCCGGCACUAUGACCUGGAGUCGGUGCCCAUGACCUGGGACCCUGUGGACCAGAACCCCAGGCUGCUCACCCUGGAGGUUCCUGGAGUGACUGAGAGCCGCCCCUCAGUGCUACGGGGCGACCACCUGUUUGCCCUUUUGUCCUCGGAGACACACCAGGAGGACCCCAUCACAUAUAAGGGCUUUGUGCACAAGGUGGAAUUGGACCGUGUCAAGCUGAGCUUUUCUAUGAGCCUCCUGAGCCGCUUUGUGGAUGGGCUGACCUUCAAGGUGAACUUUACCUUCAACCGCCAGCCGCUGCGAGUCCAGCACCGUGCCCUGGAGCUGACGGGGCGCUGGCUGCUGUGGCCCAUGCUCUUUCCUGUGGCACCUCGGGACGUCCCGCUGCUGCCCUCAGAUGUGAAACUCAAGCUGUACGACCGGAGUCUGGAGUCAAACCCAGAGCAGCUGCAGGCCAUGAGGCACAUUGUUAUGGGCACCACCCGUCCAGCCCCCUACAUCAUCUUUGGUCCUCCAGGCACCGGCAAGACCGUCACAUUAGUGGAGGCUAUUAAGCAGGUGGUGAAGCACUUGCCCAAAGCCCACAUCCUGGCCUGCGCUCCAUCCAACUCAGGGGCUGACCUCCUCUGUCAAAGGCUCCGGGUCCACCUUCCUAGCUCCAUCUACCGCCUCCUGGCCCCCAGCAGGGACAUCCGCAUGGUACCUGAGGACAUCAAGCCCUGCUGCAACUGGGACGCAAAGAAGGGGGAGUACGUAUUUCCCGCCAAGAAGAAGCUGCAGGAAUACCGAGUCUUAAUUACCACCCUCAUCACUGCUGGCAGGUUGGUCUCGGCCCAGUUUCCCAUUGAUCACUUCACACACAUCUUCAUCGAUGAGGCUGGCCACUGCAUGGAGCCUGAGAGUCUGGUAGCUAUAGCAGGGCUGAUGGAAGUAAAGGAAACAGGCGAUCCAGGGGGGCAGCUGGUGCUGGCAGGAGACCCUCGGCAGCUGGGGCCUGUACUGCGUUCCCCACUGACCCAGAAGCAUGGACUGGGAUACUCACUGCUGGAGCGGCUGCUCACCUACAACUCCCUGUACAAGAAGGGCCCUGAUGGCUAUGACCCCCAGUUCAUAACCAAGCUGCUCCGCAACUACAGGUCUCAUCCCACCAUCCUGGACAUUCCUAACCAGCUCUAUUACGAAGGGGAGCUGCAGGCCUGUGCUGAUGUCGUGGAUCGAGAACGCUUCUGCCGCUGGGCAGGCCUACCUCGACAGGGCUUUCCCAUCAUCUUUCACGGCGUAAUGGGCAAAGAUGAGCGUGAAGGCAACAGCCCAUCCUUCUUCAACCCUGAAGAGGCUGCCACAGUGACUUCUUACCUGAAGCUGCUCCUGGCCCCCUCCUCCAAGAAGGGCAAAGCCCGCCUGAGCCCUCGAAGCGUGGGAGUCAUCUCCCCGUACCGGAAACAGGUCAGGUCCUCAGUUACCAGCAAGGGUGGGGCCCCUCCCCGGAUGGUACCUCCUUAAUAUCCAGACCACUAGGCAGAGGCUCCGGGAGCUUAGGCCUCUGCUGGCUCCAUAUCUCAGAAGAGCACCGAGGUCAGCUGCCGCCUCCCUUUGUUCCCCAGCUCCCUGGCCUCCUGCCAGGCUCCCUCUUGCAUUAGGUUAAUGGCACGAGAGAAAGGCACCUGUCCCCUCCUUCCAGGUGGAGAAAAUCCGUUACUGCAUCACCAAACUUGACAGGGAGCUUCGAGGACUGGAUGACAUCAAGGACUUGAAGGUGGGUUCAGUGGAAGAAUUCCAAGGCCAAGAACGAAGCGUCAUCCUCAUCUCCACCGUGCGAAGCAGUCAGAGCUUUGUGCAGCUGGAUCUGGACUUUAAUCUGGGUUUCCUUAAGAACCCCAAGAGGUUCAAUGUAGCUGUGACCCGGGCCAAGGCCCUGCUCAUCAUCGUGGGGAACCCCCUUCUCCUGGGCCAUGACCCUGACUGGAAAGUAUUCCUGGAGUUCUGUAAAGAAAACGGAGGGUAUACCGGGUGUCCCUUCCCUGCCAAACUGGACCUGCAACAGGGACAGAAUUUACUGCAAGGUCUGAGCAAGCUCAGCCCCUCUACCUCAGGGCCCCAUAGUCAUGACUACCUCCCCCAGGAGCGGGAGGGUGAAGGGGGCCUGUCUCUGCAAGUGGAGCCAGAGUGGAGGAAUGAGCUCUGAAGACACAGCACCCAGCCUUCUCGCACCAGCCAAGCCUUAACUGCCUGCGUGACCCUGAACCAGAACCCAGCUGAGCCGCCCCUCCAAGGGACAGGAAGGCUGGGGGAGGGAGUUUACAACCCAAGCCAUUCCACCCCCUCCCCUGCUGGGGAGAAUGACACAUCAAGCUGCUAACAAUUGGGGGAAAGGGGAGGAAGAAAACUCUGAAAACAAAAUCUUGUUCUAUG
rnacentral:sRNA from 1 species